CAAAGAUUUUCUCUUUGGAAGCAAAUCGAGUUAUUUCAAGGGACAAUUGAAUUGACGAAGAAAAAACUUGGGAAACAAGCAAGUGAUAAGUUCUUUCAAGAUGCUCGUUAUGUGGUUGCUUUAGGGAGCAAUGACUUCAUUAACAAUUACUUAAUGCCGGUUUACAAUGACUCUUGGAAAUACAAUGAUCAAACUUCCUUCAAAUACUUGAUGGAAACACUUCAUAAGCAACUAUUGGAAUUACAUAAGUUAGAGGCAAGGAAAUUAAUGGUGUUUGGUCUAGGGCCAAUGGGUUGCAUACCAUUGCAAAGGUCCUAAGUACAACCGGAAAGUGCAAAGAAAGAGCAAAUAAGCUUUCUCUUAGCUUCAGUAAAGCUGCAAGCAAGUUAUUAGUUGAUUUGGAAACUCAACUUCCCAAUGCUAGCUUCAAGUUGGGAGAUGCUUACGAUGUUGUAGACAAUGUGAUUCGUAAUCCUUAUAGAUACGGAUUUGACAAUGUUGAUUCUCCAUGUUGUUCAUUGAGAAGAAUU